AGAUUGAACGCUGGCGGCAUGCCUAACACAUGCAAGUCGAACGGGAGUAGCAAUACUCUAGUGGCGGACGGGUGAGGAAUACGUAGGAAUUUGCCCUUAAGUGGGGGAUAACCCGGGGAAACCCGGAUUAAUACCGCAUGACCUCGAAAGAGCAAAGUGGGGGAUCGCAAGACCUCACGCUUUUGGAGAAGCCUACGUCGGAUUAGCUAGUUGGUGAGGUAAUGGCUCACCAAGGCGACGAUCCGUAACUGGUCUGAGAGGAUGAUCAGUCACACCGGAACUGAGACACGGUCCGACUCCGUACGGGAGCAGCGAGUAGGGGAAUA
rnacentral:rRNA from 1 species